GUGGCUCUCUCUUUGAAAGGUGAGAGACCAUCCAAUGCAUAUGACCUUCCCCUCUGCUCUGCUAGAAAGAUCCCUCACAGUAGCACCAGAGAUGGGAGUAACCUGUUAGGAACAGCCCACCUGCCCCCACCUUGAUCCUAUUUUGGUGAAGAACAUUCUCUAGAAUUUCUUUGAUGUCUUCCAAUAUAAAUAAAGCAGGGCUCCUUUGUGUUAGAAGCUGGAUCCGUCUGGUCUAGUCCAUUUGCCUGUUCUGCCCCUGCUUUUGAAACUAUUUUCUGUGUUUUUUUCCACCAUUCUAUUUUUCCUAGCUUUUAUUUCUCAGCCAGCCUGUUCCACUGAGGGGAACCCCAUUCCCACCCACUACGUGGGAUGUGGGCGGAAAGUAAACAAAACAGUCACAAUGCUCAGCUUUUCCUUUUAUAACACUCAUAGUGUAAUAAGAAUGUGUUCAUGUAUGCUCCAUAUAUGAGCCCUGUGAUGGGAAUAUGUGAAAUCUCAGGCUGAGUAAGAAGCCUAUUUUGUGGGUUCUGAUAGCAUCCCAACAUGCUCCUUCCUCAGCAAACUAGUCAAAGGACUCUCCUUCCCUACAGGUGACCAGCCAAUUAGUCCUCGACAUGGCCAACAACGCAUUUGAUGAUCAGUAUGAGGGCUGUAUCGAAGCAAUGGAGGAAAAGGCACCCCAGCUGUUAAAAGAAGAGCUAAGCAUGAAUGAAAAAUUUAAGAAUGAAUGGGAAAAUGCUAAGAAAAAAUGGAAGCAAAUAAAGUCCAACAUAAACUAUUCAGAAAAUUUCAAUGAUUUCCAUGGAACUGCUAUAGUGGCCUACACUGGGAAAAUUGCAAAAGAUUUUAACCAAGCUGUAAGAGAAUUCAGACUAAAUUCAAGUGACUUUCAGUACAAGGCCUUCCAUUAUUAUCUGACAAGAGCUCUUCAGCUUCUGAGGACAUCCCAGUGUAACCAAGUUUUUAGAGGCUCUCAUACCAAGUUUUAUUACAGUGGGGCCGGUAGUGUACGAUUUGGGCAAUUCACUUCAUCAUCUUUGAAUAGAAAUGUAGCUGUUUCUCCAAGAUUUCUUGGUGCUGAUGGGACAUUGUUUAUCAUCAGAACCUGUUUGGGUGUUAAUAUCAAAGCAUUCUCUCUCUACCCUCAAGAAGAGGAAGUGUUAAUACCAGGGUAUGAAGUAUAUCAAAAGGUCACAGUAAAACAAACUGGUAAAAAUCACAAUGAAAUUUCCCUCGAAGCUCCCCAAAAACGAAAGAGUAACUUCAAUUGCUUUAAUUCUACUCCAAUUCACAGCAAAUCAGACAUCAAUUUCAACAGUUCAGGUGAGUCUGGGUCUGCAUUGGAGGUGGGGUUUGUGGGGUCAUCAUGAAACAGAAGAGGGUGCUCCCCUGCAGAAACCCCCACAGCAGAGAACAAUGGGCAUCCAGUCCAUUGCUGAAGAGUCUCAGGUUCCUAAAAGGACAGGACUACUGUUUUGGAGUGGAGAACAGAGCUCAGGCUCAUAGACAUGAGGCCAUUUCUAGUCCAGCCAAACUCCAGUUUCCCCUGCUGUGCAGAAAGGUCAGAAAGUCUUGUGGGACACCAGGUAGAAUGAACCAAGGAAUGUACUGGUGUGUCAGGGGCCAGCCAUAUCAAAGCAUCAGAGGAAUUGGGAGGCUUGCUGGUUCCAGACAGAAGGGCGUGGCUGCUGCAGAAUCCAGGCAAGAGAUGAAGGUGCCUGAACUGAGUGAGUGGCUGUGGUGCUGGAGGCGCCUGGGUUCUAGGUCUGUCUAUAAGCUAUCUCUUCCUGGGAGGGAAGACAGUGAGAGGUGGACAAGCUGAGGGGUGCAGUCAGAAAAGAGGAUGGGGGACCUUGAGAUUUCAAGUGUGAAGUGUUAACUGUUAAUCAGGUUCCAGGACAUUUCCACAAAAGUAAUUGGCUAGAUUGAAGAGCAAGAUGGAUAGCACUGGAUUGAGGAGUUGAAGAACUGAAGAUUUUGCACUGAGAACAACUCAGCCCUAGUGUAUAGGGAAUGAGCCUAGGACACUCACAGGACUAAAGAAAGAGAGGCAGAUAGAUUGGGGCACUCAUUGAUGAAAGCGUUGGUGCUGGACAACAGCAAGACCAGAUUGGAUCUGAGCAGUUUCAGUCAGAAAAAGGAGGAUAUAUAUGGAUGAGGACAAAAGUGACUAUCCUGCCAGGUGUGGUGUCACACUCCCGUAAUCUCAGUUACUCAGGAGGCCGAGGCAAGGGGAUUGCAAUUUGGAGACCAGCCUGGGUAAUUUAGCAAGAUACUUUCUCAAGAUAAAAAAUAAAAAGGGCUGGGAUGGAGCUCAGUAGCAGAGCACCCGUAGGUUAAAUUCCCAGUCCUCCACUAAUGCCCUCCCAAAGUGACUUCAUCCUGGAUGUAAUGUACUUGGUUUAUCUUAAGUUAAUAGCAAAGUGUUAGGAACUUCCCUGGAGCCAGGAGCCAGUUGUAAAUUUCCACAAACCGCUCUAAUGACUCUGUCUACAUAUAGUUUGCUGAGAAACUAUGUAAAAAAACUAAGCUUACCUUGGAGCAAUCAUGGCAGUUACAACUCAAGAUGGCUGCAGUCAUGUCAAGUUAAAUCAAUACAAGUGGUCCACAUGGUAGACCACAUGUAGAGGGACAGUGCCUGGAAUGAUGAAGGUAGAGUUGGUAAAAUCAGGAGAUAGGAACCUCAAAGAAGACAUACCAAUAAUGGUUGAAACUGGUUACAAAGAACACCAAGAAAGCUGUCACCACUCCCAGCCUCGAGAUGCAUAAGAAGAGCCACCAUGAGCACUUUCCCCAUCUUUUCCCAAGUGGUCCUGGCUUUUAGAUCUCUAUGCAUUUACACCAAUCAUUUCUUGUGGCCUGCAGUCUCUCUUCUUUGACUACAUAUCAUAUUUGAUCCAAGCUAAGACACCAUCAAUUUCAACAUGGUGAUUGUCUUCCAAGACCUAGUUCCAAUAUCACUUCCAAUAAUAAGCCUUCCUUGAUACUUUCAAGGAAAAUUAAAUCCUACACCAUUCUCUAUGGCAUAGGUUUGGACUCAGACCACCUCAAUGAUAAUCUGGCUCAGCAGCACUAGUUUUAUGACUUCAAGCAAGUUGCCUAAGUAAUCUGUCUCUGAAUUUCCUCAUUUAAUGAUGGGAUACAAAUAACAAACACUUGAGUAGUAUCACUGUGAGAAUGAUAAGAUUUUUAAGAUUUAUUGCUUGGCACAUAGUUUUGCUCAACAAAUACCUCCUUUUUUUUCUCGUGGAGAAUCUUGUCCACAUCUCAGCCAUUUUGCCUCAUAAUGGAGUAUGACUUACCAUUUAUAUGAUAAUCUCUUGCUUAUAGCCUGGAGACUUUGUCCCUCCUAUUUACCUGCAUUCAAGAUCUGCCAUGGGCUUGACUUGAAUCAGGGUUCCAACAUAUAUUGAUGCAGUAAGUUACUUUUUAUUGAGAGGCCAGGGGUCCAACCAGAAGUGGAUCUGGGCUGCAGAGGGACUAAGCAUCCAAGAAAUUUAAACCAAAUUUGCUCUUACAUUCUGGAAAUCCCUUCAAAAACCAAAAAGAUGUCCUUGCAGUUUCUCUCUCCUUGGUAUUUAUUUUUUUUUCUUUUUACCAUUUUUAUUGGUACAUUAUAAUUUACAUAAUAAUGAGAUUCAUUACACCACAUUUGUACAUGUGAGUUACAUAAUUUGUUCACUUUCCUUCCCUGGUACCUCUCCAUUUCCUCCCCUCCUCCCUCCCCCUAAUCACUUUCUCCCUGGUAUUUCUCCUCUCUCCCCCUAAUCACUUUCUCCCUGGUAUUUCUGACUACUUCAGGAAUCCUGGGAAAAUAAGAGGAGAGGCUAGUCAGGUUAAGUGAGUGCCUAGAGCCCACCUUCUAGGGUUUUGACAUGUAGGUGAAGCUCUGAAAGUUAGGAGGCUAUGUCUUGAGAAACUCCACACUGAAACCUUUCCUUCUCUCCCUCCCAUAGGCCCUGUGUUCCUGCUGCUGCUGCUACUGCUGCUUGCUGAGCCAUAGCCCUUGGCCUGAAGUUUCUCUUCCUUGACUACAUAUCAGAUUUGUGAGCAGGAUGUUGGAGGAAGGACAAGGAUCAGAGACUUGACUGGGUUCUCCAAUGUCAGCAGUAUUGGGAAGGGUAGGAUCUUUUUUUGUAGUCCGCUUUAGUGCUUGUGUCCCUCACAGAUAUAUGAGGAAAUUACUAAAUCCCACUAUAAAAGUGAGCAUACGGUCUUCAAAUUUACUGCCUGAGAUAAGUUCCUGGUGUCUUGACACUUUGCUAUGGUUACAAAUCAAUAUUUGCAUGCACCGUCAGCAGUGACAAUCUCUUUAAAAUGCAAUUUGUGAUUAAUGUUAUAAUCUAAAGAAAUAAACCAUUCAUAAUCACACCUUGCUUUUCUGUGACUAGGUUUCUCUAUAGAUUGUAUUAUGCUCAAGAAACUCUCUUAAGGCAUUAGAUCUGAUGCCAGAAUUUUUACAGCUGAGAAAAUUCAUAUUGCAUAUUUUUAUAGAUAUGUUUGUGGGACUGAUUGACUGAGCCAUAAAUAUGAGGGUUGUCCUAGAUAAAUUCCUCUCUCUACACUACUCCGCCAAAAAUGCAUGCAGUUACCAAGCCCUGUCAAUUAACUUUAAUAAUCGUUCUCAAAUCUAUUCCUUGCCUCUUGCCUACUCUGAUCAUCUUUGAGAAAAUGGAAAAGCCUGUUGUGAGGUGUGGAUGGAGCGCAAAAUCUAGGCAAUGUCCUAGCCAAGAGUGGGUCUAGCUAAGAUGCACAGAGCUUCUCUCACUCCUCAUUCCCCACUCUCCAUGCCUGAAAGACUGCACUGCCAUUGCCUACCAGCUACUGAGAUAAACUAUGAAGACAUGGUAAGUAAUUCCAAAUAGUAUAAUGGUGCAAUAAAAUCAAAAUCAUUGGAGAGAAUAAAGAGGUAAGAAAAUACUCAGGCAAACACAGGAACAAGGUAUAUGGCAGGGAUGGCCUUACAAAUCACGGGAGGAAACAUGAGGGUGUGAAUGGAGUUAGGACAGCUAAUUGUCUACAUAAAAAAAAAUGAAAGAAAAGAAAUAAGAAAUUGGAUUGGACCCCUACAUUGCAUAGAAAGCCAUUGUUUUGGACUUAGCUGCUUCAUGAGGCCCAAUAGACCAGAUCAAGCCAGAAUGGAGUCACUUUUGCUGGAUGCCUUAUAAUCAAAAUGAACUUUGAAAGGCACCAGUUUUCUGACAUCUAGGAGAUUCACAGUAACCAGUCAGAAGGCGCCCAAGUUACCUGACCUAGCAUGAUGAGGAACUGUCCACUUUUUUAAUUCUAUAAAGAAAGUACCUUCAAAUAACCAAUAUACUUUUUGUUCCCUAUUUAUGCUUUCUUUAGCUCUUUCCUGCCUGUAAAACCAACCCCCUCUGCUGUUCAGCUGAUUAGGAUAUCUUUUAUUUUUUUGGUACUCGGAGCUUGAACUCAAGGGAUCUCUACCACUGAGCCACAUCCUCAGCCCACUCCUCGCUUUUUUUUUUUUGUACUUUUUUAUAAGACAGAGUCUCACUAAGUUGAGGCUAAGGCCUUGAACUUGUGAUCCUCCUGCUUCAACCUUCCUAGUCUUUGGGAUUACAGGCAUAAGGAUUGUGCCCAGCUCAGAAUAUCCAUUCUCUUUUGUAGAAUGAGAUGUUGCCUGAUUUCAGUAAAAGCUAAUUUGUUUUUUAAACUAAAUCUGUUAUUAUUUUUUCAACAUACCAUCCGUGAAAGUAAUCCUAAGGAAUGUAAAGAUCUAAAUGUUAGAAUAAACCUCCGAAACUCUUAUAAAAAUAUAAAAGAAUAUUGGGCUGGGGCUGGGGCUCAGUGGCAGACCACUUGCCUAGCAUGUGUGAGGUACUGGGUUCCAUCCUUAGCACCGUGUACAAAAAUAAAUAAAAUAAAGGCAUGCUGUCCAUCUACAACUACAAAACAUUUUUUUAAAUAUAUAGAAGAAUAUUUGUUUUAACAUGAGAGCAAAAGGAAAAAAAGAUUUAUUUCCCCUCCAUGCCUAAGAUCCUGGGAUCUUAUUACUUCUGCCAAGAAUGACGUCAUCACUUUUAUAAUAUCUCAUUGAUCAAAGCAAGUCACACAGCCAUCUUCAACUUGAAGAAGGGCUUUCCAGGCACCCGGAAAGAGAAGAGAGGAGGAAAAUUUGUAAUAAAACCCGUUGUUUGGGGAAGUAUAUCUUAAGACCAAAAAACAAAAUAAAGAGAAACACAAAUAAAUUUGACAUAGUAAUAACAAGAUGAAUAGCCAAAAUUUUUUGGGUACUUACUGAGUUAUCGGGCACUUAUUCAAAGCAUUUUACAUAUUUAUUCAUUUAAUCUUCACAAUAACCUCAUGAGGUAAGCUCGACUCUUUCCCAUUUAUACCAUCGAGGCUCUGAGGAGUUAUGUAACUAAUUGUCAAAAUAAACAAAAUAGACAUAAGAAGCAAGGAAAUAGAACCUAAACUAUGGCAGGUCAGGUCAGGGGUGUUGAAGGGCUAGGAGGGGUUAUGCUAAGUAAGCAGCAAAAGCUGGGCUUCCAGAUAAGAUAGAGCUCAUGGGUCUGCACUUCAUUGGUUAAAAGAAAUCCUAUUGUUUUUAAUUCAGGAAGGAGUGCCUAAUUAUCAUUUGGCCUACAGGGGUCAUUAAAAGUUCAUGAUUCUUCAUCAACUUUAGCAGGAAAAAACAGGUGUGAUGAAAAAAAUGUUGGGUUUUAGAUAAGUCCCAGGCGAAUGCUUUCUGUAGGUCAAAACUUCUCUUACACUGUGAGGAAAAUAAGUCAAAAUCAAACACAUAAACUUCUGAAUAACAAAAGACGCCAGAAUCAAAAAGCAAGAAGGAGGCUGGGAAAGGAUCUUUGUGAGAUUUAUAACAUGUAAAGAAUGUCUGCAAAAUAGAAAAAUUAGAAUAAUAUAUGAACAGACAAUUUACCGAAGAGAAAAAUCAACCUUUUUUUUUUUAAUGCCAAUUGCGAUUGAAACACAAAUCAAGGCAACCAUGACAUAUUACUUCAACUCUUCAACUUUAACAUGGGCUACUCGAUCUUAUCAAGCUGUUGCAAUUUAAGCAAAGUCUUCUAGCUUUUGUCAAAUCGAAACUCUUGAGAAUUGACAGACUUUCUGAAAUAUAGGGAUUUAUUGAGGCUUUACAAAUGCUAAACAGAAAAAAAAAAAAAAGACCAGUUCUGGGAAAAGUUCCUAAAACCAUUGGCAAUAGGCCCGGGCAGCAAUUGGAAACAUGUCCACUGGACCUAGAGCUUAGAGUAUCUUUGUAUAAACUCUGAGGAAGGAAAGUCUAAGUAGUUUACAUUGACCUUCAUUGGCUCUGGAAUGCAGGAUAAGGCUAUGGGACAGGAGGAUUGUUCAUAAGUAGAAGCACCUGCUUCUGGAGUAGUUGGGGUUAAACAUCUGGAGGGUUUGUAAAUCAACAGGGUUUGGUGGCCCUGGUGGUCAGCCAUGAAGGGAUUGAAGCUUUCAACAUAAACAGUCUUUUUGGUUCUUUGCCAGCAGCUGUUAACUGAUUACCUACUUUGUCUUAUUUCUUCCCUUUUCUAUUCUCUGGCCCUUGUGAUUAAUCUCAGAAUUUUUCUUUUAUCACUUUUAAUCUGCAUAAGUUUCUGUGUCUCUGUUCUCAUGUUUUCCUUACAUUGUUUAUUUAAUAUCCAGAUGAGAAGGGUUUUUAUUUUUUGCGACUAGGGAGUGAACACAGGAUUUUUUGAGACAGGGUCUCACUAAAUUGCUGAGGUUGACCUACAACUUGUAAUCCUUCUGCCUCAAGCUCCAGAGUUGCUGGGAUAUCAGGUGCUCACCACCAUACCUGGCCAGUAAGAAAGGUUUUGAUGCAUCCUUUAAGUCUGCCACCUAUGAAACAUAUAAACAGUAUUGCAACCUUAGCAAUUAUUUCCACAUCAGUGAGAUAUUUUGUAUGACUUUUGUUCAAUUCAAGAAUGCAAACCGGGCAUGGUGGCACAUGUCUAUAAUUCCAGGGACUUGGGAGGCUGAGGAGGAGGAUCAUAAGUUCAAGGCCAGCCUGGGCACGUUGGGGAGACCCUGUCUCAAAAUAAAAAAUAAAAAGGGCUGGGGAUAUAGCUCAUUGGUAGAGUACCCCUGAGUUCAAUCUGUAGUAUCAAAGAGAGAGAGAGAGAGAGAGAGAGAGAGAGAGAGAGAGAGAGAGAGAAAGAGAGUGUAUAAAGGCACAUUCUGUAUUUCACACAUUGUUGAAAGAGUGGGGUAAGACCAGUAAGACCAGGCAUGGUGGUGCAGCUCUGUAAUCCUACCAACUUGGGAUGCUGAAGAGAAGAAUCCCAAGUUCAAGGUCAGACUCAGCAAUUUAGUGAGACCCUCAACAAUUUAGCAAGACUGUCUCAAAAUAAAAAGGGAUGGGAAUGUAGUGGUAAAGCACCCCUGGGUUCAAUUUCCAGUACCACAAAAAAAGAAAACUGAAAGGUUGGAGAGUGGGGAAGGUUUUUAACAAGUAAUAGAUUAUGAAUUAAAACCUGAGAGUUUAUCUAACUUUUUGUUCCCUGAUCUGGUCCCUGAUUAUCUCAGUUACAUGAACUUUAAAGUCAGAAUGAAAAAAACUCAUGAAUACAUUGGGGCUCAUUCAGUAGGAGGGCUACAGCAAAGUGGAAAAAAUCUUUUUUGUAGGAUUCUGAUGUAAUCACAUUCUUAGCCUUAGGGUUGAUGAAGGCCAGAGGUCAGUGAUAUAUACCAAGUGUUUUAUCUGGUAGUUACAAGGAUAUAAGGUCAGAUACAGAGAUGGGUAGUAAAUGAUUAUUAACAGGAACUAUAGAUAGCCCAAGAUAACUCUGGCUCUCCAUCUGUAACAUUCCAUCUCUCCAGAACCAUGAUAUUCUUGUCAGCCACAGUCCAACAGUCUGCAGGUCCUUCAACAUAACUGAGGCUUCUUCAGAGAACUUCAAUUCACAGCUUUUAGUUAGUGUGACCUUGAAAUCCAAGCCUGUGGCGAUGUCUGACUUCUACUCUAGCCCUUCCAAACAUUGUAUUGAAUUGUAUUUCAAUUCCCUGUAUUGAAUCCCUUUCUGUCUGAGGUGCCUAGAGUGCUUCUGUUUCUUUCAUAGAAUCCUAACUGAUGCAACUGGGCUCCCUGCUUCUGCUCUUGCCCACCAGAGUAGCCCCAUGAACUCAAGACACAAUAUGCAAUUUCUUUGCUCAAAUCUGUGAAUGGCUAAAAGCCAAAGUCCUUCCAAUGCCUUAAAAAGACCACAUCCAAAUUUGGUAUUCCAUAAACAUUCUGAUCUCCUCUUCCACUGCUCUCCAAAUUGCUUGCUCUGCUCCAGCUACGCUGAUCUCCUUAUAAUUCUCUACUGUGCAGGCACUCAUUGGCCUCAAGGCCUUUGUUUUGUGUUCCUGCUCCCUGGCACUUUCCCUAGAUAUCUGACCAACUUACAAAGCUUAUUUCAAGUCUUUACUCAAAGACCCCCUUCUCAGUGAGAUGUCCCAUGUCUGUGUAUGAUUAGAUUACUACCCUCCUGCACACCAUCCCCCUUUCCUGCUCUUCUUUAGCACUUUGCAGUCUAAAACAUCACGCAUACAUUUCUGACCCUAUUGCAUAUUGCCCCCUCCACAUUGUUGAUCCUAUAAGGUUUUUGUCACUAUAGCAUUUACUACCUUCAAUGCUAUAAAUGUCUCCCAGACUCUGGAAUCUGAACUUCACAAGGACAAGGAUGUUUGUAUGCUACUUCAUUGGUAUACCCCAAGCACUCAGAACAGUGCCUGGCAGGUAGUAGGAGCUUAGGAAAUCUUUAUUGAAUAAAGAAAUUGUCUCCAUUCUGUGAAUGAGAAAACUAAGACUUAGAAGAACAUGUUUCUUCAAUGUACCAGCCCCAAAGAGGCAGAUCUGGAGUUACCCUGAGACUGAGAGCUGCAUUAUUUAAAAAAAAUAUAUAUUUUACUAUUUUUAAAAGAUAUUUUAAAUACUUCAAUAUAAUUUUAAAAUAUUUUAUUAAAGCAUGGCCUACAUACAGAAAAGUGCACAAAUCAUAUAUGUUCCACUUGAUGGAUUUUCAGAAAAUGAUCACACCUGUGUAACUAUCACUCUGAAAAAGAAACAGAACAUUACUAGUGAUCCAGAAUCUCCUGGGACCCCCUACUCUGGGGGCAUUAGAAAAGUAACUACUACUCUAACUUUCAAUUAAUUAAGUGUUCAAUUAGUUAGAGAUUAAUUUUGCCUGAUUUAAAACUGUAUAUAAAUGGAGUUGUAUGGAAUAUAUUCUUGUGUUUUGGUUCAUUCACUAAAAAUUACACUUGUGAGACUCAUAUUUUCACAUAUAGCUGUAUUUUAUUCAUUUUUAUUGCUUUAUUAUAUUCCUCUGUGAAUAUGUGAAAAUUUAGUUACCCAUUCUAUUGGUGAUGGGCCUUUUGUUCUUUCUAAACUUUGGCCAUUAGGAAUAAUGUUGUACGUAUAAUGAACAUGUUGUAUAUAUUGCACACAUGUGAACACAUUGUUAUACAUGUCACUCAUUUUUGUUGAGUAUAUACUUAGGAGUAGGAUUGCUGAGGACAUGUUAUUUAUAGAGUUGUCCCUAUGUAUCUCUGGAGGAUUAGUUCUCCCCACCACACCAACAUCUGCAGAUGCUCAAGUCCCUUGCAUGAAAUGAUGUAUAAUGGGUAUAUAACCUAUUCACAACCUCUUGCAUCCUUUAAAUCAUCCCUACAUUACUUAUAAUACUUAAUUCAAUGCAAGAUGGGAACAGUAGUUAUACUGUAUUAUUUAGGGGAUAAUGACAAGAAAAAAAAGUCCAUGUAUGUUCAGUACAGUUGCAGUUUUUUAUGAAUAUUCUCAAUUUGCUUGUUGGUUGAAUCAAUGGAUGUAGACCUUGUUAUAUAAACAGAGGGCCCUAGGCUGAGGAUGCAACUCAGUGGUAGAGUGUCUGCCUGGCAUGCACGAGGCCCUGAGUUUGAUCUCCAGCACCACAAUACAAACCAACAAACAGAAGAAAAGAAAAGAGGGCCCACUGUAUACAUAAUGUUCAAUUUUAGUAGAUCCUGUCAAAUAAUUCUCCAUACCCUCUCUGGACCUCAAUUGAGAAGCAAGUUAUUUAUCCCUGUGUUUAAGAGUAAGAGAUUCAUAACAAGCUAUAAUGGUGGGGUACACGCUCUCACAGUGAUAACACAGGUGGCAAUACUGGAAGCCUUGGCACCUGUGUGAUGAUUAACUUCAUGCUUCGAUAUGAUUGGCCAAGACGAUGCCCAGAGAGCUGGAAAAGCAAUAUUUCUGGGUUUAUCAGUGAGGUAUUUCUUGAAGAGAUUAACAUUGACUCAGUAGAUGGGUAAAGGAGAUCUGUCCUUACCAUUACAGGUGGACACCAAAGGCAAACUCUUCCCCCCUCCUUAAGCUGGGCCAUCCAUCAUUUCCUGUCCUUGGCUGUAGAAGCUAUUGAUUCUCAGGCCUUCAGACUUAGGAACUUAAAUUAACCCCCAUUGUCCUAAAAAAUUUUCUCUCUGGCCCUUAGGCCUUUGACCUCGGGCUGGGAGUUAUACCAUCAGCUUCCCUGUUUUCAGGCCUUUAGAUUCAGACUGAAUUGUACCACCUGCUCUCUCAGGUCUCCAGGCAGAGCAUGGGACUUCUCAGCCUCUACAAUUGGAUGAACUGAUUCCCAUAAUGAAUCUAUGGAUUCUAUUUUCUGGAGAACCCUAGUUAAUAUAACCUGUGAGCCAUUUUUGGGAAGACUUGAUAAGGUGCCUUCCAAUGGAGUUCCAGAGAUGUAUUCCUUUGACAAACACAGGAUCUCCGUCAACAGUUUUUUUUUUUUCCCCAUUACUCUGUCUAUAGAGGUCAGUUGGUAGGUUGCACCUAGAAUAGAAUGUUUUGAUGCACACAUCAUUCAUGCUUUGAAAUGAAACAACAUUAUCUGGCCUACAAAUGCUCUGCCAACGAGUGGCCAUGGAGAGUAACUAGAAAUGGUAUAGACACUUUGCAGCUGGAUCAUUUGGGGAAAGUCCUGAUCUUUCUUUUGUAGUAGAUGCCACGGUAUAAGAGCUAUGAGAUGGGUACCUGGCCAUUCCAGUCCAGUUUCUGUACAACCCUAUCCAAUUUAUCUUUUUUAGAAUUCCAUUUUGAAGUUUCUCUAUCUUCUCUGAUUCUAAGUAAUGUGAGCCGCAAAACAUUUAUGAAUCAAUAAGGCUUUACAACUAUUAAUAGACAAAGGUAAUCCAAGUUUAAAAAUAAAUCUUUAGAAACUCUUGGCCAAAAGACAUAGUAUCAUUUUGGUGCCCUAGAUUCAGUUUCUGGUGAAGGCCUCCUUGCUGGCUUACAGGUAGCCAUCAUUUUGCUGUAUCCUAUAUGGUAGAAGGAGCUCUCCAGGGUCCCUUUUAUAAGGACAUUAAUUCCGUUUGUGAGGGCUCUCCCCUUGUGAUCUAAUCACCUACCAAAGUCCAACUAUCUAAUACCAUCACACUGUGGGUUACAUUUUUAACAUGAAUUUGAGCAAACACAAAUAUUUUGCCUACAGCAAGUAGUGAGAGGAAAUAUUGGGUUUUUUAUUUGUUUAUUUUUAAAACAAUUUUCUAUAGUCUGGAAGUACUCAAAAACAUAGUGAGAACUGAUACAAAUACAAACAGACUUUUGAGAAGUGAGACUACAGAUUCAGAAGAAGCAACGUGUUUGCUACCUGAGUCAAAAAUAAAGAAUUUUUGCUACAUGUGUUAACAGCAGACAGCAUCACCCAAGAUCUUUGUUUUUUAAGUCAUUAACUUUAAUGUACCUUGUAUCAAAACCUCAUGCUCAAUACACAAAAGAAUGUCUAUCAAACACAUUCUCUCAGCCUCACUGACCAUUCCAGAUACUGCAGAAGUGAAAGGUCCACCCUGGUUCCUGUGGAUGCCCUUCUCUUCAGGGGCUUCCUGCCUCUAGUCAUCCCUAAUACAGAGACAUGAGGAGACUCCACUUUGCAAUUACACCUGUGCAAUCCAGGAAUGUGGGGAAGACAAAGUUCCAAGAGGAACUCCUCUCAACCAGUGGAGGACAGGAGUCAAGGAUAAGUAAUUCUUGUUUGCCCCCCAGACAGAUGGUUCUGAGUCUCAAUUCAGAAGGCCACCACAGUGCCCAGUGGCAAUAUGUUUAAAUGAAAAUAUCUAGUUUUUAAAAAUAUCAUGGAUAAGAUCAAGCACAUUACAAAGUCACAUUAUGGAUGCAUCAAUUAAUUUAUCCUCCUAAUUUGAAUGUUUUGAAGACCAAAUGUGCCGAUACAUAGAAAAUGAUACAUAGGGUAGAGAAUUUUGGUUAACAUAUUCCUUAUUUUCUCUGCAUUUUAAUUUCUUUAAAAGUCUCAAAAUAAUAGUAGUAACUUAUUAACUUAAAAUUUUACCAUUUAUGGUUCAGAAUCAUUGACAGAUCUUAGAAAAUAUACUAAUAUAUUUUCUUAUAUCUUAUAAUCAACCAAUCUCUGUUGAUUAUAAGAGUUUAUAGAAGAAAUAUGGUAAUAAAACAUUAUCCAUUUAAGUAGAGUAACUGUAGAUGUUCAUAAUUUUUAAUAUUAUACAAGUUCCAAAAGUAUAAGAACUAGUUUAUAAAAUACUGGUGUUUAAAAUAAUCAACUAGCUGAAUACUCAUGUUUACAUUGACAUAUUCUUGAAUAUUAGUGCAAGUAAUAAUAAUUGGAAAAUUUAGAAAUUCUACCUUGUUUAUCUUUUCCAAAGAUUAAAAAUUAAAUUCAAAGUCUUUCAGAAAUUAAAUACCACAUUUGCAUUUUUACUUAUGUAAAAUCAUCUUUUAGUCAUCUUUUAACUAAAAUUCAAGGUAUAGUUUAUUUUAUCAAAGGGUUUGCCUUGAUAAAUAAUAUAAGAGCACAUAAGUUAACAUUUAAUUUCUAUUUAUUUACUUUUCCCUGCUGCAUCCUUUGUUUAGAGCCCCACCUGUAAAACCCCUAAUUGUAAGGCCAUUGUUGCAAGAGACACUGUGACAAGAUGGAGGCGGAACUCCAUUUGAUAAAGGUUGUACAGUAGCCAGAUUUGAUGGCUUUUACUUCCUUUUUUUCUCUUUCCUCCCCAGUUCCAAAUCACAGCAAAUUCUGAAAGAGCAGCUAAUUUCAAAGGUAAUCUGCUUUACCCAGCCCCACUCUUGCUCAGGGGGCUUCUGUUACACUUAUUUGAAACAAAUCCCUCAACUGAAAAGGAUCACAUGAAAUACACAUUGGCUUCUAGAACACAGUCUUCCCCCUGAAUGUGCUCAUUCUCAGGGGCACACGCUGAAGUAGAAUUCUUGGAAGCUUCUUGGUCAAACAAAACCGACAUCCUUAGGACAAACAGUGUCCAAGUUCUAAGGGAAGAAUUGCUUGAGCUGAAACAGUAGGUACUCCCAGUAGGCCCACACCACAGAAUGGGGCCACAAAAGUCCUUGUCCUGUGCCAUUGGGAAAGCUGAACUAAUUAAAAUACCAGAGACAGACUCAGCAGAAGCCAUCAUUUCUCUCUUAGAAUUAAGACAACUAAAUACUUCCAGGUAUUUCCCUAGAAAAUGAAAGAGAGAGAGAGGGCGGGGGGGAGAAGUAUUUGGGGGAUAGGCUGGUUGAGGUGGCUGUGUGCAGGAGAGGGUAGCAGAGGUCCUAAUCACAGAGAAGUUUUGAGUACAGGUUAGAAAAUACUCUGGUGUUCUUUUGAGCCAGCAGACUAAAGUGUCCAACCCUUCCCUGAAGGCUGACACUUAGCAGCUCCUCCAGGAUGUGUGGCUGCUGAGUUUGCUCAUUAGCAUUUCAUAGUCUGCAGUAAGCAAGUGCAGCCACCAGGGGGCAAGAUGCACCUUUAACCCUGGCCUUACUGAAUACCAGAGGGUCCUGGUCUGGUCCUUGAAGGUGCAUCUGGAACUUCACAUCUCAGGUCAGUACCUUGUUUCCCUUGACUUGUGAAAGAGGUGGAUCAUUAAGAUAAAAUAAGGGGAAGACACCCUGGAAGAGACUAAAACUAAGAAGCUGAAGAACAAUGUCAGUGUUCUGUGUACGUGUUGUCAUUCACCCAUAGAGUCUCCACGUACUUUAACAAGGACCAAAUGACUUUAGAAAAAGGAAACUGGAAAGGAAAUGAGGAAACGUGGGGAUUCUCAACAGAAUUCAUUGUGCUGACUCUUUUUGUGUUCAUUAAUUUAUACCUGGGUCAGGGCGUCCUGUGCCAGACCCGCCAAAGGAAAUCCCACAAUCCUCAACUUCGGGGAAGCACCUGUGUCAAAGUUACACUCAGGCCAAUUAACAGCAUGGUUCAAGGGCUUCCUUAUAUUUAUUUUAUUGAGUGUAGUUGGUAUGCUAUACCUGUGGGUUUUACAUCUGUGGAUUCAACCAGCAGCAGUUAAAAAUUCUGGGAGAAAAGAAACGAAAGGAAAGGAGGAAGGGAGAGAGGGAGAGACAGAGAUAGAAAGCAUGUGCACAUAAAAUACGAAAAAAAAUUAUGUCUGAACUGAAAGUGCACAGAUAUUUUCUAGUCAUUAUUCCCUAAAUAAUACAAUGUAACACUAUACAUAGCAUUUACAUUGUAUUAUUAUAAGCAAUCUAAAGAUGAUAAACAGUAUACAGUCAGGUAUAAUGGCACAUGCCUUAAUCCCAGAGAUUCAGGUGUCUGAAGCAGGAAGAUGGCAAGUUCAAGGCCAGUCCCAGCAAUUUAGGAGCUCUAAGCAACUUUGCAAGACCCUGUCUCAAAAUAAAAGAAUAAAAAGGACUGGGGUGAAGCAAGCCAGAGACCCCCACCCAGAAGACCCUUGCCAUAAUUAAGCUUCUCCUCUUGUCAGAUCAGCAGGGUGUCUGCAAAGCUUACUGUGGUUGAAGUUUCCUCUUUCUUGAAAAUGCCAGGUUUGCACACAAAAGGUGUGAGUUAGUCUGCAAGCUUGUUGUAAGCAAAGAUAUUAUCUCUAUUUUCUUGGUAAAAACUUGUGUUGGUCUAGAGGAUGGAAGAGAGAGCACUUGUUAUGUAAAACCUCCAAGGCCCUCCUCCCACUGGAUAUAAAGUUCAAAGAAUUUCCAAAAUCUUUGUUCAGAGAAAGAAUUCUUAGGCGAGAGCCACCUCUGAACCCUGCAGUCAAUAAACUGCUUCUUGAAAAUUCCUCAGGUGUCCAGCCUCUCCUGGCCUACUUCAGGGGGUCUGUCUGGGGUUGUAGCUUAGUGGUAGAGUGCUUGUCUAGCACAUGUUACUGAGUUCAAUCCUCAGCACCACCUAAAAAUAAAUAAAAUAAAGGUAUUGUGUCCAUCUAUAACUAAAAAUAUUUCUUUAAAAAAGGGGGGCUGGGGAUGUGGCUCUGGGUUCAAUCCCCAGUACCCCACCACCACCACAAAAUAAAAGUAUACAGCAAGAUUCAUAGGCUAGUGAAAAUGCUGCUCCAUUUUAUAGAAGGGACUUGAGCAUUUUGGGGGUCAGAGGUGGGUUCUGGAACAAUUCCCCUGCAGAUACCAAGGCAUGACUAUAAUAGAAUCCUCCAAACCUUGAUUAGAAGUCUCAGUAUUGAAGGGUUUUUUAAAAUCUUCCUAACUGCCAAUUUUGACCUAAUGUGAAUUGCACAUUAUUGGGACUGAUCUUCAUAUUUAUUUUGUAACUCAGCAGGAACGUUGAAGCUAUUAAACCAGAACUUAGGUUUUUUUUUUUUUUCCAUCUAAAAAUGUUUAGAAAAAAGGGCUUAGAUUUGAAAACAAGAAUAGUGUUUAAAUUUGUAUUAACAACUUAGUUUAUUUCUCAAGGUUAUUUACACAUUCACCAUUCUAUUUUAUUCUUAAAAGAAUAUAAAGUUUACCUUUUACCCAAAGGCUUUAAUACUCAAUUGAGUAGUUUCAUUUUUUUAUCACUUGGAAGUUUUAGUAGAAACUGUUUAAAAAACUCAUCCUUUUGAAACUAAUUUCUUUAAUCUUUUUAAAUGUCUUAACAUAAAUUAUAGAAUGCCAUUUACAGGCCAAGUUUCUUUGUAAACUCAAUGUUCUGCUAUUUGGAAGGUUUUCUUUUAUUGUUCUCUCACCCUGGAGGCCUUUUUAUAAAGUGCUGGCACAUUUGAAGCAUUGGAGGUGUGGCUUGGUUUCUUAAUUUUUCCCACAGGGAGACAUUGAGUCCCUUUAUCUUAGAUUUAUAUAAGCUCUCAGUGGUAUCUUGUAAGCAAUAUAAAUAGAAAUUUUACAGGGGUUGGUUGACAUGAUAGUUGUAUUUUCUGCAAAUCUACAGAGUAGGCCUAAUUAAUUCCAAGCUGUCUCUGAUAUCAAACUCAUUUCUUUGUCGGCAGGAUAUACAGACCAGCCCUGCAGAGCAAGCAAGCUGAAAUAUCUACUGUUUCCAAAAUCUCCUAGAAUUCCCCACCCCCAUCCUCUCCGUUCAUACCAACUCAAACCAAUGCAUCUGGACCUUUGCACAGGGCUGGGAGUCUCUCACUCAACAACAGAAGAAAUUAUUACACGACUGCAAAAUUGGAAGAUCAAACAGGAGAAUUUUUCCCUUAAGAAAAAGAAAGAAGAAAUCUUGCAGACGUCCAGAAAAAGUCACUCAAGCUUCCAGGAAGCAACAUACACAUAUUUAUCCUCUAGGGGGCAGGAGUUCUCUGUUUCUGGUGGAAAACACUUCACUGGUCCGGAGUUUUGCCUCUUGGAACUGCUAGGGAAACUUCACUUAGCUGGGUCUUAAUUUGAACAGAAAGAAAACAUUCCAGCUUCGAAUUAGAGAAAAGUCUAACCCAGAAACUAGAAGUACUCAUUCCAGAAGACAGAGGCACAAAGCUCUUUCAAUCUGCUCUGACUGCUGGUGAGCUCACAGAUGCAGCUCCACAUGUGUGCUCUCAAGAAUGCCUGGCAAAAGCCACAAGAUACAACCAUCCACGACAGCAGGAAGCAGCAUGGCAGGUUUUUGCUUCGGAUGCCCUGUUGAUGAUCUAGCCAGCUGUUCCUUGAUGCCCUUUUCUGAGCUGGUUAGAAACAUCCCAGAGAUAAGCAAGACCCAAAUAAAUUGUCUGUCACUGCCUGGGUUCUCUUUCAAAAACAGUGCCAAACACAAGGAGCUGCCUUCAGAAAACUCGUUUGGGAGAUGAUUGCAGGGUGCAAGAGUGAGGAACUUGUACUGUGCCAGCCAUUCCUGUCUGCUGGGGACUGGGGAGUUUGCUAAGAUUUGAGACUUUCACUGCUAAAAUUGGAGAAGUCUCAAAUAAAUGAGGGAUGAGUUGGUUGUGCAGGAACUGGGUGCUGUACUCAAAGGAGGUAAGCUGGGCAAGGCUGGGCUCAUGUGUUAUUAGAUCCCACAGCAUAGAGGGCACCUCAGAAUUGUAUGCCCGCAGGAUGGACGUGGGGAGAUUUGUCCACUGGUUUCCAUUCUCCAUUAGUCAGUUUUGCUCCUUGGGGGCGUUCAUUCUGCCCACACUCAGGGUUCCUGUGCCUGAGUGCCUGUGAACUCCCACAGGCAUUUCCCACUGAGGCUUCAGAGAAGCCCUGGGUGGAAAGUGAGAGAAACACAAUACAACUGAGGAAUAGCAUUGUGACACCUACACAAACCCGAUUGCUGCAGCAAUGGCAUUUGGACUGAUGGGGUGAAGUGGGCCCAAGAAGCGUCCUAUGCAUGAAGGUUAAUUUCACCUUCUUUUGGUUGGCUUAUCGUUGAGCUCAGUAUGGGAUCAUCAACCUCUGCUCUUAGCUUCCAGUUAAUUUAAAUGAAAUAAAGUUCUCAGAUUUUUUAUUUAAAUAAGAAAUCCAGCAAUGUAGUUUCAUUUCUCCUUGUGUAUAUGGAGGAAGGUGC
rnacentral:lncRNA from 1 species